rnacentral:rRNA from 1 species
AUUGAACGCUGGCGGCAUGCCUUACACAUGCAAGUCGAACGGCAGCACGGGAGCAAUCCUGGUGGCGAGUGGCGAACGGGUGAGUAAUAUAUCGGAACGUGCCCGGUCGUGGGGAUAACGUAGCGAAAGCUACGCUAAUACCGCAUACGAUCUACGGAUGAAAGCGGGGGGAUCGCAAGACCUCGCGCGAUUGGAGCGGCUGAUAUCAGAUUAGGUAGUUGGUGAGGUAAAGGCUCACCAAGCCGACGAUCUGUAGCUGGUCUGAGAGGACGACCAGCCACACUGGGACUGAGACACGGCCCAGACUCCUACGGGAGGCAGCAGUGGGGAUUUUGGACAAUGGGCGCAAGCCUGAUCCAGCAAUGCCGCGUGCAGGAU